AACGAACGCUGGCGGCGCGCCUAACACAUGCAAGUCGAACGAGAAUCCGGGGCAACCCGGUAGUAAAGUGGCAAACGGGUGAGGAAUACAUGGGUAACCUACCCUUGAGAAGGGAAUAACCCGCCGAAAGGUGAGCUAAUACCCUAUACGCUAUCUUUUUUCGAAAGGAUAGGAAAGCCGGGUCGAGGACCUGGUACUCAAGGAGGGGCUCAUGUCCUAUCAGCUUGUUGGGUGGGGUAACGGCCUACCAAGGCUACGACGGGUAGCUGGUCUGAGAGGAUGAUCAGCCACACUGGCACUGAGAUACGGGCCAGACUCCUACGGGAGGCAGCAGUGAGGAAUAUUGCGCAAUGGGCGAAAGCCUGACGCAGCGACGCCGCGUGGGGGA
rnacentral:rRNA from 1 species